rnacentral:lncRNA from 1 species
GUUGGUAUUGAUCUUGGCACCACCUACUCUUGUGUGGAUGUCGUUUAGCACAGAAUAUUGGAGAUACUUGCCAAUGAUCAGGGAAAUCAAACCAUCCCAAGCUCUGUUGCCUUUACUGAUACCAAAUGACUAAUUGGUGAUCCCACAAAGAACCAAGUUGCAAUGAACCCCAUCAACAUGAUUUUUGAUGCCAAACAUCUGAUUGGAUGCAGAUAUGAUGAUGCUGUUGUCCAGUCUGAUAUGAAGCAUUGGUCGUUCUUGCUGGUGAAUGAUGCAGAUAGUCCCAAAGUCCAAGUAGAAUACAAGUAAGAGACAAAAAGUUUCCAUCCAGAGGAGGUGUCAUUUAUGGUCUGACAAUGAUUAAAGAAAUUGCAGAAGCCUACCCUGAGAAGACUGUUACCAAUGCUGUGGUCACAAUGCCAACUUACAUUAAUGAUUCUCAACAUCUGACUACCGAGGAUGUUGGAACCAUUGCUAGUCUCAAUGUACUUAGAAUUAUCAUCAAUGAGCCAACUAUUGCUGCUAUUGCUUAUGGCUUAGGCUGCUAUUGCUUAUGGCUUAGACAAAAAGGUUGAAGCAGAAAGAAAUGUGCUCAUCUUUGACCUAAGAGGUGGCACUUCUGAUCUGUCAAUCCUCACUAUUGAGGAUGGAAUCUUUGAGGUCAAAUAUACAGCUUCUCCACUUAGGUGGAGAAGACUUCAACAAGCAAAUGGUCAACCAUUUUAUUACUGAGUUCAAGCACAACCAUAAGAAGGACAAUGAUGAGGAUAAACAGAAGACUCUUGACAAGUGUAAUGAAAUUAGCAACUGGCUCAAUAAGAAUGGUACUACAGAGAAGGAAGAAUUUGAACAUCAGCAGAAAGAGCUGGAGGAAGUCUGCAACCCCGUCGUUACCAAGCUGUACCAGAGUGCAGGAGGCGUUUGAAGGAAUGCCUGGGAGCUUCCUUGGUGACAGAACUCCUCCCUCUAGUGUUGCUUCCUCAGUGCCCUCUAUUGAAGAGGUUGAU